GGGUUGUGAGGUUAAGCGACUAAGCGUACACGGUGGAUGCCCUGGCAGUCAGAGGCGAUGAAGGACGUGCUAAUCUGCGAAAAGCGUCGGUAAGGUGAUAUGAACCGUUAUAACCGGCGAUGUCCGAAUGGGGAAACCCAGUGUGAUUCGUCACACUAUCGUUAACUGAAUACAUAGGUUAACGAGGCGAACCGGGGGAACUGAAACAUCUAAGUACCCCGAGGAAAAGAAAUCAACCGAGAUUCCCCCAGUAGCGGCGAGCGAACGGGGAGCAGCCCAGAGUCUGAAUCAGCUUGUGUGUUAGUGGAACGGUCUGGAAAGUCCGACGGUACAGGGUGAUAGUCCCGUACACCAAAAUGCACAGGUUGUGAACUCGAAGAGUAGGGCGGGACACGUGGUAUCCUGUCUGAAUAUGGGGGGACCAUCCUCCAAGGCUAAAUACUCCUGACUGACCGAUAGUGAACCAGUACCGUGAGGGAAAGGCGAAAAGAACCCCGGCGAGGGGAGUGAAAAAGAACCUGAAACCGUGUACGUACAAGCAGUGGGAGCACCUUCGGGUGUGACUGCGUACCUUUUGUAUAAUGGGUCAGCGACUUAUAUUCUGUAGCAAGGUUAACCGUAUAGGGGAGCCGCAGGGAAACCGAGUCUUAACUGGGCGUUAAGUUGCAGGGUAUAGACCCGAAACCCGGUGAUCUAGCCAUGGGCAGGUUGAAGGUUGGGUAACACUAACUGGAGGACCGAACCGACUAAUGUUGAAAAAUUAGCGGAUGACUUGUGGCUGGGGGUGAAAGGCCAAUCAAACCGGGAGAUAGCUGGUUCUCCCCGAAAGCUAUUUAGGUAGCGCCUCGUGAACUCAUCUUCGGGGUAGAGCACUGUUUCGGCUAGGGGGUCAUCCCGACUUACCAACCCGAUGCAAACUACGAAUACCGAAGAAUGUUAUCACGGGAGACACACGGCGGGUGCUAACGUCCGUCGUGAAGAGGGAAACAACCCAGACCGCCAGCUAAGGUCCCAAAGUCAUGGUUAAGUGGGAAACGAUGUGGGAAGGCACAGACAGCCAGGAUGUUGGCUUAGAAGCAGCCAUCAUUUAAAGAAAGCGUAAUAGCUCACUGGUCGAGUCGGCCUGCGCGGAAGAUGUAACGGGGCUAAACCAUGCACCGAAGCUGCGGCAGCGACACUAUGUGUUGUUGGGUAGGGGAGCGUUCUGUAAGCCUGCGAAGGUGUGCUGUGAGGCAUGCUGGAGGUAUCAGAAGUGCGAAUGCUGACAUAAGUAACGAUAAAGCGGGUGAAAAGCCCGCUCGCCGGAAGACCAAGGGUUCCUGUCCAACGUUAAUCGGGGCAGGGUGAGUCGACCCCUAAGGCGAGGCCGAAAGGCGUAGUCGAUGGGAAACAGGUUAAUAUUCCUGUACUUGGUGUUACUGCGAAGGGGGGACGGAGAAGGCUAUGUUAGCCGGGCGACGGUUGUCCCGGUUUAAGCAUGUAGGCUGAUUGUCCAGGCAAAUCCGGAUAAUCAAGGCUGAGGUGUGAUGACGAGGCACUACGGUGCUGAAGUAACAAAUGCCCUGCUUCCAGGAAAAGCCUCUAAGCAUCAGGUAACAUCAAAUCGUACCCCAAACCGACACAGGUGGUCAGGUAGAGAAUACCAAGGCGCUUGAGAGAACUCGGGUGAAGGAACUAGGCAAAAUGGUGCCGUAACUUCGGGAGAAGGCACGCUGGUGUGUAGGUGAAGUCCCUGCGGAUGGAGCUGAGACCAGUCGAAGAUACCAGCUGGCUGCAACUGUUUAUUAAAAACACAGCACUGUGCAAACACGAAAGUGGACGUAUACGGUGUGACGCCUGCCCGGUGCCGGAAGGUUAAUUGAUGGGGUUAUCCGUAAGGAGAAGCUCUUGAUCGAAGCCCCGGUAAACGGCGGCCGUAACUAUAACGGUCCUAAGGUAGCGAAAUUCCUUGUCGGGUAAGUUCCGACCUGCACGAAUGGCGUAAUGAUGGCCAGGCUGUCUCCACCCGAGACUCAGUGAAAUUGAACUCGCUGUGAAGAUGCAGUGUACCCGCGGCAAGACGGAAAGACCCCGUGAACCUUUACUAUAGCUUGACACUGAACAUUGAGCCUUGAUGUGUAGGAUAGGUGGGAGGCUUUGAAGCGUGGACGCCAGUCUGCGUGGAGCCAACCUUGAAAUACCACCCUUUAAUGUUUGAUGUUCUAACGUUGGCCCCUUACCGGGGUUGCGGACAGUGUCUGGUGGGUAGUUUGACUGGGGCGGUCUCCUCCCAAAGCGUAACGGAGGAGCACGAAGGUUAGCUAAUCCUGGUCGGACAUCAGGAGGUUAGUGCAAUGGCAUAAGCUAGCUUGACUGCGAGCGUGACGGCGCGAGCAGGUGCGAAAGCAGGUCAUAGUGAUCCGGUGGUUCUGAAUGGAAGGGCCAUCGCUCAACGGAUAAAAGGUACUCCGGGGAUAACAGGCUGAUACCGCCCAAGAGUUCAUAUCGACGGCGGUGUUUGGCACCUCGAUGUCGGCUCAUCACAUCCUGGGGCUGAAGUAGGUCCCAAGGGUAUGGCUGUUCGCCAUUUAAAGUGGUACGCGAGCUGGGUUUAGAACGUCGUGAGACAGUUCGGUCCCUAUCUGCCGUGGGCGCUGGAGAAUUGAGGGGGGCUGCUCCUAGUACGAGAGGACCGGAGUGGACGCAUCACUGGUGUUCGGGUUGUCAUGCCAAUGGCACUGCCCGGUAGCUAAAUGCGGAAGAGAUAAGUGCUGAAAGCAUCUAAGCACGAAACUUGCCCCGAGAUGAGUUCUCCCUGAGACUUUAAGUCUCCUGAAGGAACGUUGAAGACGACGACGUUGAUAGGCCGGGUGUGUAAGCGCAGCGAUGCGUUGAGCUAACCGGUACUAAUGAACCGUGAGGCUUAACCUUACAACGCCGAAG
rnacentral:rRNA from 1 species